CGUGUAGGUGGCUAAUUAAGUCAGGUGUGAAAUCCUUCCGCUUAACGGGAGAAGUGCACUUGAAACUGCUUAGCUAGAGUACGGGAGAGGAAGGUGGAACUCCUGGUGUAGAGGUGAAAUUCAUAGAUAUCGGGAAGAACACCGGUGGCGAAGGCGGCCUUCUGGCCCGAUACUGACGCUGAGACGCGAAAGCGUGGGGAGCAAACAGGAUUAGAUACCCUGGUAGUCCACGCCGUAAACGUUGGGCACUAGGUGUGGGAGGUUUUUAUUUCUUCUUUGCCGAAGCUAACGCAUUAAGUGCCCCGCCUGGGGAGUACGGUCGCAAGGCUAAA
rnacentral:rRNA from 1 species